rnacentral:tRNA from 1 species
AUUAAAAUGGCAGAUAAAUGCAUAGGAUUUAAGCUCCUAUUAUACUUUUAGUUUUUAAUA